UAACGAAGCACGCCCUAUAUUUGUGUGUACUGGCAUAUUGUGUACGUGUGUGUAUGUGUCGCCGUAGUUUACUUGUGAGACAUGACCAGAGAUUGAUUGACAACAUACAGUCCUACAUGCGACCAUAAAAAGCCAGUAGUCUUAGACAGCGCACAUUCUCAAGAACGUUGCCGCCAAUAUUGCUGUGUGCUUGUAACGCGCAACCUGUGCACGAGAGAGCUUGUUGAUUCACAAGGCAUAUAUACAAACCUGUAACCGACCAAAGCAACGGAGAAAUUUAUAAAGAAUUUGAAAGCAAUGAAAAUGAAAGGGACUAGGCUGGUCACCAUAAUGCUGGUAGGAAUGCGUAUAUUCUAAUCAGGGUGAUGGAUUCUCGUUGCAAAGCUUUCGUAAAAACUUCAUUGACUGUGUAACUGUGUAAACAAUGUAAUAGUAUACAUGAUAUAGCUAGUCACCGUAGAAAGAGAGACAGCUGAAAGCAGGGUGGUAAAGCAGGGUAAAGCAGGGGUCUGUGAUUUCUUGUUUUUCGGGGAACAGGCUUGAAAUCCACGAUAUUCCGUCCAUAUGUCUUGUAAACUUGAGAAAUUGCUAUGCUAUAUACUCACACAAAAAUCGGAUUGCCUACAUUAUAUAUUAACAUUCAUGUGUUUUUGUUGAAUAAAGGAGAAUUGUUUGUGAAAAACAGUGAUAGUAAAACUCUUUUACAGUACAAGCGGUAUUGCUGACCAGUUGAACACCAACCUUGCUUAUGUAUCAUGUACAAGCUCACUCAGUCCUACAACUCAUUAGGAUUUGAUAUACUUCGUCAACAUUUACAACUCUCUUUCACUAGCUCUCACGUUACAGCGAUUAAACAAAUCUGUUAUAAGAGAAUAAAUGCUAGGCCGAGCCUGGCGAGUGAAUUUUA